UUGAAAUUUUCUUUCUUUUUAAACUCUUAAGUCAGAUUCUAAACACAAGGUUAUAAAAUCAGUAGAGAUAGGUAGCGGAUAUGAAAUGUAAGAAAGAAGAAUAACACGCAGAUUCAUCAUGAUUCCUCUCACAACUCAAGAGUAAUUCAAUUCCCUUGUAUUUACAAGAGAUUUUCACUAUAAUCACACAAGAUUACAAUUUGCUCAAGCAUACAAAGCAAGAGACUUCAUUUGCUCAAACACAAAAGUAAGAGACUUCCUUUGCUCAAGCACAUAAGCAAGAGAAUUCCUUUGUUCAAACACUAAAGUAAGAGACUUCUAUGCUUAAGCACACAAGUAAGAGACUUCCUUUGCUCAAGCUCACAAGCCAUGGACUUUCAAUGCUCAAACACUUAGUAAGAGACUUCUUACAAUCUAUCUAGCAGAUAAAUGAUUGUUAGGAAAAUACACUUGACAUACAAUCAGAGGUGUAUAAAGAAUACACAACAAAUAUAGUCUUUAAUAUUUAGGGAUUUGUAAGAUUACAGGGAUAAGAAAUCCCAAGUUUUGCUUGUGCUUUACUUAGAUAAAGUAACCUCUCUUUUUAUUGUUAAUUAUUGUAUAUUAGCUUAUAUUUUUUCAAUUCCUUUUAGCUACUUAAAUAGAGAAGAAAAAGAGUUGUUAAAGAUGCAACACAGUAGAGUCCUUUGAGAAGCUUCAAAAGAGACGUUGGGAUGUUUCACCAAAUUGUUAAGUUAUGUGAAAGCUAGUUUGAAAAACCUUUGCUAUAAAGGAAUUAUCAAUUGUAUCCCAUGAGACUCUAUGAGGAAAAUAGAGCUUAGGUAUUCACAUGACAAAGUAUGUUCAAAGAUGAACAGUGACCUAUCAGGAUCACCUUGGUCAUUCCGCUUUGACUGACCCAGGUUAUGAUAACCAGAAGAAGACUUCUCCAAAGUAUGGUCUUCAAAGGAUGACUCCUUCAGACUCUGAUCUUCAGACAUUGAAAUCUUCAAAAGUUGACUUCUUCAGAGUAUGGUCUUCAUCUUCUGAUCUAUCAGAUUUUGAUCUUAAGCUUCUCUUUGAAUGUUCAUAGUGAUGCAGCCGCAAGGGCAUGGUUGUGCAAAGUAAUAAAAUAGAUAUCG
rnacentral:lncRNA from 1 species